ACAAGUCACUUUAGUCUUUUUACAUUUAUGCGUUUAGACGCUUUUAUCUAAAGUGACUUACAGUGCAUUCAGGCUAACAUUUUUUUUAACGGUACGUGUGUUCCCUGGGAAUCAAACCCAUGACCUUUUGCACAGCUAACACAAUGCUCUACCACUGAGCCACAGGCUUUAGGUUUAGGUUUUAUUCUAUAGGUUUGUUCACUUCACAUAGAGAAAGAAUCUGUGGGACAGAUCCCAGAGACGAAUGUGUGGGACGUGUGCAUGACUUCAGUCCCGUCUGAUUGGUGUCUCGAGGGCUCCAUAAAAGGAGAGAGUAUUCAGAGCCAGAGAGGCUCCUGAGAGACAGAAGCACCACAGCGUCACACAGAAGAGCUGGAGAACCAUCACAAUGACACACACAACCUGAAAUGAAGACAUGAGCGCUUUGGAAGAACUUCUGUGGAUGUAGUCUGGAGAGUUUCUGCCGUUGCAAAACAGAGACGUUUUGUGUUUCUCGUGUUGGAUCAGGCUGAUCCAUGAGCUCCUUCUUUUCUUCUUGCCAUGGGCAACUACGCAUUUACUGCAGAUGUUGAAGAUUUCAAGUGCAUCGUGUCGACUCUGGAGAACCGGCGCAUUCUGAGCGAGCACAGCAGCCUGCAGAACAUGCUCUCUCUGAAUCAUGCUGUCGAGGAGGAAACAGGACAGGAAGUGAAUCAGGAAGCAGACCUGCUGGCCCUCAAGUUUCUGUACAGUAACACAGACUCUACAGAGCCUGUUAGCAGCUCUUCUUCUGGCACGACUCUGCUCCCGGAGCAUCUCUCGCCGUCAUUAGCCGCUAAACCCCUCAGGUCCCCUCAGGGCCCCGGCACUAUGGAGCAGAUGAGAGCAGAGCUCCGAGAGCUACGAGAUGAACUGGACACUCUGAAGACUCAGCACAAAAAAGAGAUCAAACUGCUCAUGAACGAACUGGAUGAAGAAAAGAAGAUGCGUCUGUCACUGCAAGUAAGCACAAGGACGAGUCAAGAGCCUCUAGAGUAGAUGUUAAACAGUUUCAUUCAUCAGCAGUGCUGGGGAAAGUUACUUUUAAUUGUUACUCCAUAGAAAAGUAACUAAUUUUAUGGAAAGUAAUGCAUUAUGUUACUUUUUGUCACCGGGGCUGGGCUUGC
ensembl:lncRNA